rnacentral:lncRNA from 1 species
AAGUGUAGAGAAAGCCUUCCUUCUCUGGUCCGUCUGUUUUAUAUACGCCCCUAUCCAUCUUCCGUUGGAGCUCAGAGCACAAGGGGAGAGGCGGGGGUUCUUGGCUCCGGGCUCGCGUUAUUGCAGAGCAUGGAGAUGCUUUGUUGAUGGCCAUCUAAUCCCUUCAUCUCGUCGAUCUUGUGACAAAUGAAGCGGCUGGGGGUCGGGAUUAGAUGACCAUCAACGGACACUUCCAUGAGGCACUUCCCUCUGCACCGUUCAUUCAGCUUCCCUUCAGCACCCGACAAGCUUCUCUCGCGGUCAGUCUGCCUCGCGCUCGCGUUGCUUCUCUUUCUCGUGCCUCCUUUUUGGUUUUCUCUUUCCUUUUCUCUCGCCUUCUGACUCCACCGUGUGAUGUGUGCGUCGUUCUCUUUGGGUUUUGGAUGCGACGAGUCUGCUGAAUGACGGUUUGAAAUCUGCCAUAUGCUCUGAGUUUGCACGUUGUUUUGGAUGGACUAUAAGAUCACAUGCGGUGACAUGAAUCGUUGAUGAAUGCGUUUAGCAAAACGAUGAUGUUCUACACCAGGAUGAAUCGUUAGUUUAGAGGCCAUAUGGUUGUCGGAGUUUCCCUCCGCAUCCAACUCUAGGCGGCACCCAUGUAUGCCCUCGUUUCCAUUUAAGCGUACCUGUACAAGCUUCUGCUCGUUGUAGUCGUAGGUUGGGCGCGUAUGAAAUACUACAUCGAUAAAUUUCAUUGCAUUUAUCUCAAAAAAGGUAAAUAAAUAAAAAUAAUGUAAUUCCAAGUUGGAGAUGGCUCAAACAUAUCCGAUGCAACGUAUUUUCAGCCACAAUUAUUUCUCAGAAGGUAAGUUUUCAUGUCCAUGUAGGGACAUAGUGAUCGUUUGAGCAAGUAUCCUUGCGUUAGUACAGUCAAGGUAAUUGAUGAAUGACAAAAGUAAAUCGUCCCAACACAUUCUUUUAUCAAUUUAAUACAUCAUUAGCUCAAGUCAUCCGGUAAAUGAAGAGCUACGGAGAGAUAAAGUGAACUCGAAAUAAAGGCGAGACAUUUUAAUCUAUCGCUCUUGCUCUUUAGUGAAUAUGUGAAAUAGGAAGAAGAAAACAAACAGACAAACAAAAAAUCUCAGUAAAUGUACCUACUUUGAGCCUCUUGUAUCAUCUUCGGAAAUUGAUACUCACAUUGAUUUUGAUCCAAGGAUCUGGGAUCAAAUGAAUGGCACCACAGAGAGCCCUGUCAUUGGACAAGAGACGUGGGAUAAGGUAAACAGGAGCUCAAGCCUCUGCAAGUUGAAAAAGUCCGUGCUUGAGUAUUAUUCCCAGUGAGGAUAUGUCUUCUCAUGGAAUCCAUCAUCAUUUCCAGGAGUUAAGCUCGCGUCCACUCUUGAGAAUCCAACUCUUACUUUUGAACUAUUUGAAGGGCAUGUGUUUACGUCCUAGGAUGUGAAAAUGUUUCAUUCAAGUUUGGGAAUUUCUGAUCCAUUAAUGUUGUAACAUGACAGUGAUUAAACGUUCUCCGCCUUCAAAUGAUCAUUUUCUUAAUUGUUCA